rnacentral:lncRNA from 1 species
GCUGGCCACCCCUCAGCCCAACCAGAGGACACCACGGCUGCACGCCCCCGGGCUCCUCGUGGGAACCUGCGUCCACGCUGUGCUCACAGGAACAAACCUGAGACCAGCACCAUCCUGAGAGCAGGCUCACGGCCACGGAAGCUGGGCCUCCUCACAUUCACAAAGCACAGUCCACGUGGACUGCACACCUCCUCACCAGGUGGGCUGCACACCUCCUCACCAGGUGGACUGCGCACCUCCUCACCAGGUGGACUGCGCACCUCCUCACCAGGUGGACUGUGCCCCCCUCCUCACCAAGUAGACUGCACACCUCCUCACCAGGUGGACUGUGCCCCCCUCCUCACCAGGUGGACUGCCCCCCUCCUCACCAGGUGGACUGUGCCCCCCUCCUCACCAGGUGGAGUGUGCCCCUCUCCUCACCAGGAGGACUGCACACCUCCUCACCAGCUCCUCUCCUCACCAGGUGGGCUGGUGGACUGCACACCUCCUCACCAGGUGGGCUGCCCCCCUCCUCACCAGGUGGCUGUGCCCGCCUCCUCACCAGGUGGCUGUGACUCCCCUCCUCACCAGGUGGCUGUGCCCCCCUCCUCACCAGGUGACUGUGCGCCCCUCCUCUCCUCACCCAGGUGGGCUGUGCCCCCCUCCCCACCAGGUGACUGUGUCCCCCUCCUCUCCUCACCAGGUGGCUGUGCCCCCCUCCUCACCAGGUGGCUGUGACCCCCCUCCUCACCAGGUGGACUGUGCCCCCCUCCUCACCAGGUGGGCUAUGCAGGGAGAGGCUCAGUGGGUUGCCAUGGGCAUGGGCUUUUCAGGUGUGAGUAACGGGCCUGCCCUGAGCUGCAAAUGGUGCCCUGGGCGUCGGAGAGGAUCCCAGAAUCCUGGGAACAAGAGAGACCUCAGACAAUCCUACAUCAACAGGGAGAGCACAGGGCCCAGCACCAGGGGCUGGUAAGGUCCUCGUCAUCUGCACGGAGAUGCUGAGGGGUGGCACUGGGGCACAGCCGUAAACCUGCCGCCCGCGCCCAUGGCAUCCCAUGGGGUGCCAGUUGGUGUCCCGGCUGCUCCACUUCUGAUCCAGCGCCUGGCUAAUGGCCUGGGAUAGCAGUGGAAAACAGCCCGAGUGCUUACAUCCCUGCCGCCCAUGAGGGGACCCAGAUGGAGUUUGAGGCUCCUAUCUUUGGCCUGGCCCAGCCCUGGCUGCUGUGGUCAUUUGGGUAGUGAGUCAGCAGAAGGAAGAUUCUCUCUCUAUCUCACUCUCACUGUCUCUCUCAAACAGACAAAUAAAUCUGAAAAACCCAGGGAAGCCCGCCUGGGA